GGUGGUAUAACUCAGUGAUUGAGUACUUGCCUAGCAUGUGUGACAUUCUAGUUUCAAUUUCUAGUACUGUCA
rnacentral:tRNA from 1 species